UACGUAGGGGGCAAGCGUUGUCCGGAUUUAUUGGGCGUAAAGAGCGUGUAGGCGGCUGGGUAGGUCCGCUGUGAAAACUCGAGGCUUAACUUCGAGACGUCGGUGGAAACCAUCCAGCUAGAGUCCGGAAGAGGAGAGUGGAAUUCCUGGUGUAGCGGUGAAAUGCGCAGAUAUCAGGAAGAACACCUAUUGCGAAGGCAGCUCGCUGGGACGUAACUGACGCUGAGACGCGAAAGCGUGGGGAGCAAACAGG
rnacentral:rRNA from 1 species